rnacentral:lncRNA from 1 species
GGGGCUUCCAGAACCCAAACCAAGUCAGCAGCCCCCAGCCCCAGCCCCAGCCCCAGCCCCAGCCCCGGCCUCCCCUGUCUGAGGUGUCUGGGUUUAAUUUUCUGGUCAGUGCAGAAAGCAGGAGGAAGAGGACGAGGAGGAGGAGAAGAAAGGAGCGAGUUGAAGUUCUAAUGCAGUCGGCUGGGAUCUGUCACUCAGCGCACAGCCCGCUGACGACUCAGGGCAGCCCCAGCUGUAAGCAGCCCAUGAUUUAUGGACACCGAGUGAACUCCUGCGGCAGAAACCAGCCUUGAGAUCAGAGCGGCAAUAGGGCCCUUUUUUUGGCAGGAGACAGGGCCUGCAUUUUUCUCAUUCAUGCCAAACUGCUUUGCACGGCAAUUAGCUCUGUCCUCAUUUAGUCUCCAGUCCCAAAGGGUAAUGAAAGUCAUAUAUCAUCUUCAAGACUGCUAAUUAUUGAGCUCGCUUACAGUUGUCCGCCGACCGUCUGGAUUGUAAUCCAAACCAGCAGACUUCCGUGGGUGCGGUUAACUAAGGGAAGUUGUUUUUUGUGAAGAGAUUGCUCCGAUACAAGCUAAUAAUCCAUCAUAUCCAGAAGCAAAACAAAGAGCAUGGACUUCGGAGACAGACUUCCAGGAAUCGGAUCUCAGUUCCAUCAUUUACUUGUCCUGUGAUCAUGAGCAAGGGACAAGAGGGCUCCGGCGCGCUCUCCUCCCCAGGCCUGGGAAACAGGUUCUCAAGCGCCCUCCGACCUCCAAUCGAUCCCAGUCUCCCGCCUGCGACAGGGGAUGCUUGGAGAGCGAGGAGAGGGACGCGGGGAGCGGCACCUCCCCCAGGCCGAGGCUGGGCGGCCGAGUCCCGACCUGCGCCGCUCUGAGCAAAACGAAACUCAAACUCCCAAAAUUCUCGACAGGGGAAUUUUAAAAAUUCCCCACCCCCCUUUCCUUUCACUUUUAACAAACCAGCAGCUGGGGGAAAAAUUAAACGAAAUGAGCGAUAGCUAAGGACGCUAUCUUUCCAAACUGUGAAACCCCUUUAAAAAAUAUUUUCGAAGGCCAGCCCCACAACUGGCCAGCUCUUCUGAAGCCUAUGCCUCUUCCUGAAAAUCACAUCAAAACAGUCGGAAAUGCGGCCAAGGUCCUGGGAUGGAGUAGCCGAGAGGCCCAGAGAACCCGCUGCUGCUGAAACCGCCAUGCUCUUCUUUCUCUUUAACCAAAAAAUAAAAAAGAUAAUAAUAAGAAGUAAAACCUUUUAAUACAUCAAAUAUACGGAAUUUUAAUCUUUAAAGCGAUACAUUGUCUAUUUUAGUACAUGACGUAAACCUUACUUGUCCCCUUCUCAGCGGGUGGACUUAAAAAUUAAAAAUAGUUAAGUGUUCCUUUUAAAGAACAAAAUAAGGCAAAUGAGGUUUUGGAAUAGAAUUGUUUUUCCUUUUUUUUUUUUGUUUUCUUCCAGAAUACAUACAAAAAAAUACCCAUUCUCUUUCGAUGGUAUACACCUUAAAAAUAAUUGCAAUUUGAAAUCAGAGCUGACAAAUUGUGACUUGUUUUGUUUUUUUUUUUCAUUUUUUGUAACAAACAUGCAUGUAAAUUUGUGUUUCAAUCAGACAUUAAAUAAGAACGUACAAUACAAUCAUAGCAAUUUUAAAGUAACAUUAAAGAGAAGACCUC